rnacentral:rRNA from 1 species
AUUGAACGCUGGCGGAAUGCUUUACACAUGCAAGUCGAACGGUAGAGGGGGCAACCCCUCGAGAGUGGCGAACGGGUGAGUAAUAUAUCGGAACGUGCCCAGUCGUGGGGGAUAACGUAGCGAAAGUUACGCUAAUACCGCAUACGAUCUAAGGAUGAAAGCGGGGGAUCGCAAGACCUCGCGCGAUUGGAGCGGCCGAUAUCAGAUUAGGUAGUUGGUGGGGUAAAGGCUCACCAAGCCAACGAUCUGUAGCUGGUCGGAGAGGACGACCAGCCACACUCGAACUGAGACACGGUCCAGACUCCUACGGGAGGCAGCAGUGGGGAAUUUGGGACAAUGGACGCAAGGCUGAUCCAGCCAUUCCGCGUGCAGGAUGAAGGCCCUCGGGUUGUAAACUGCUUUUGUACGGAACGAAAAGGUCUCUCUUAAUACGGGGGGCUCAUGACGGUACCGUAAGAAUAAGCACCGGCUAACUACGUGCCAGCAGCCGCCGUAA